AGCAGCCGCGGUAAUUCCAGCUCCAAUAGCGUAUAUUAAAGUUGUUGCAGUUAAAAAGCUCGUAGUUGAAUUUCGAGAUCAAAUUGUUGGUCGUGCCUUGGUACGUACUGACAUUAUUGAUUUCUCCCUUCUGAAGAACCAUGAUGUCAUUAAUUUGGUGUCUUGGGGAAUCAGGACUGUUACUUUGAAAAAAUUAGAGUGUUUAAAGCAGGCUCGCGCUUGAAUACAUUAGCAUGGAAUAAUGAAAUAGGACGUUUAAUUCUAUUUUGUUGGUUUCUAGGAUUGACGUA
rnacentral:rRNA from 1 species